GGGUGUAAAGUGCGCGUAGGCGGCGUUUUAAGUCGGGGGUGAAAGCCUGUGGCUCAACCACAGAAUGGCCUUCGAUACUGGGACGCUUGAGUCUGGUAGAGGUUGGUGGAACUGCGAGUGUAGAGGUGAAAUUCGUAGAUAUUCGCAAGAACACCGGUGGCGAAGGCGGCCAACUGGACCGGCACUGACGCUGAGGCGCGAAAGCGUGGGGAGCAAACAGGAUUAGAUACCCUGGUAGUCCACGCUGUAAACGAUGAAUGCUAGCUGUUGGGAUGUAUGCAUCUCAGUAGCGCAGCUAACGCAUUAAGUAUUCCGCCUGGGGAGUACGGUCGCAAGAUUAAAACU
rnacentral:rRNA from 1 species